AGGACGAACGCUGGCGGCGCGCUUAACACAUGCAAGUCGAGCGAUAACCGGUCCUUCGGGACUGGGGAAAGCGGCGAACGGGUGAGUAACACGUGAGUAAUCAACCCCCGGCACCGGGAUAGCCCGAGGAAACUCGGAUUAAAUACCGGAUGGUCCAGCAGCUCUUCGGGGCGGCUGGGAAGGGUAGCUUCGGCCUCCGGCCGGGGACGAGCUCGCGGCGGAUUAGCUUGUUGGUGGGGUAACGCCUACCAAGGCGAUGAUGGGUAGCUGGUCUGAGAGGACGAUCAGCCACACUGGGACUGAGACACGGCCCAGACUCCUACGGGAGGCAGCAGUUAGGAAUUUUCCGCAAUGGGCGAAAGCCUGACGGAGCAACGCCGCGUGAGUGAUGAAGACCUUCGGGUUGUAAAGCUCUGUCGGAGGGAAGAACACGAAUGACGGUACCCUCCAAGAAGCCCCGGCUAACUACGUGCCAGCAGCCGC
rnacentral:rRNA from 1 species